rnacentral:lncRNA from 1 species
GGUAUGUGAACAAGGGUGGGUAGGCAGGUGGGCCCUGAGUCCAGGCCUAACACACAGCGCUGGGGGAUGGGGAGGAGCACAUACCCAUAGCUAAGGGAAUGGCAUGAGGGUACCAUAAGGCUAAGUGGAGGCCCUGAGCCCAGCCUGAACUCUGCACUGAAGUUUGAAGGAAAAGAAGAAGUUGGAGGAUAUGAGGUUAAUCAACCGUAACCCCUCCCUUCCAGGGCCCUAUGGGCAGCUGAGGCCAGAGCUGCGUCUGGAGCAUUUGGGUGAGUUGAGCAUCUUUAUGAGCCUGGGAUGAAGGAGCUGGGAAGGCAGACGUCCCUGGUGUCACACAUAUCCCUGUUUCGUGGACCAUGUUGUAGGGGAUCCUGAACUGAAGACAUAUACCAAGAGCCCAUUGGGAAAUGGUUACAGAGGUAAGAGGAGUCUUGGUGGCUCAUAAGCUCCUCCCAGGUGUCCCAGACCUUGGCAGGGAUAGCAGGCUCCAAGGCCUUAGAGUGCUGAGUAUCGACCCUAGACAUCACCGGUGCCCCACCCUGUUCUGCCUCUCCCCAGGACACUGCCCCUCUGGGGAAUGCUGAAUGGAAGCUUCCCUGCCUACCCUGAGGGUCUCUGCAUUACAGCCUGGCUGGAGAAGCACAGCAGGAGGAUCUUCUCAACACUUGCCUAGGCCACUGCCCUGUCCCUGUCUCCUCUGGGCUGAAGUAUUAAUAAAAGCUAUAUGGUUCCCCGUUUGCCUCUGUGUGCUGUGGAGGGAUGCCGACUUCAGGGAGGGUGGCACAGGGCACCUCCGUUCAUCAUCAUCCGCCCAUCAAGCGACAAUGGGCUCGGUGAUGAGGCCUCCAAACGGAAGACAACGAAACAGACAUAAAACCUGUCCCAAGGGAGGGGUGUCAUUUGGUCACAAUCUAAUGGAGAAAAAUAAUGCCAACUGAGGGGUCUUUCAACUGGGUAUGUACCUCAGUACUGCCCGGAAUG